GCGCACAGAGAUGGCUUUAUUCAGUUGCCCACAGGACACCUCGCAACCCCCGGCCAGGCCCCCACCUGGCAUCCCCUCCCGCCCGGCCUCCAGGAGGGGUGGGACAUCUGGCCCUCAGGGGAGGGGCCUUCCUGGGGGCCCGUGGUGCCUGGCCGGUGGCCCCCGGCUGCAGAGUCUACCAUUUUUGAGGAUUUGUGCUUCAACUUGACGCGGGGGGCUGCGGUCAGCCGGCAUCCUGGGCCACCGACGGGCAGCAACCUCCCACGCUCAGGGGGGCUCCCACCACCCCCAGACCCCGGAUCAGCCAGGGCGCCCGGCCAGGUGAGGCGGCCACCGGGGCCUUCCCGCUGGUCACAGGCUGCUGGCAGGGCAGGGCCGGUGCCUCCAACUGACCCAGGGACCCUCUGGGGGCUUAAGGCCGAUGCGGGCAGGGCCGGCGGGGCCCCCGAGGGUGUUCCUGGGACCGAGGUGGGGAUGGUGGGCACCCCCCUCACCAAGGCACUCAGGCCGGAUCCUGACACCCCUGCUCCCUGGGAAAUGCUCGGCCAGAGACACGCCCGGGACAGGAAGGCAGAGCAGCCGUGGCCCCAGCCAGGUCCGGCCGGGCAGCAUGAGAGCCUGCAGCCCCGAGAGCCAGGCGUCACUGUCCCUGGGAACAGGGGGAAACUGAGGCACGGAGGUUGGCCAAUGCGGAGCUGUCUUGGAGCCCCGGCCUUGAAAGUCCGGCCACGCACACGCUGGCCACAAGUGUCCUCCGGUGCUGGCAGCUGAGCCCCAGGCCGGGCGGCCAACUGCGGGGAGCAAGGCUUCCAGAGGCGCGGCCUGUGCUCCCGUCUGCGCGGCCAGCGGAGGCCAGGCAGGGCCCACAUCCACCGGUCUGCACCUCGGUCAGGGAAGGACACACCUGUGCCAUCUGCCUUCGGCUGCGCUCCGAGCGCCCCGGCUUUGCCCAGCGGGGCAGGUGCCCAGGGAGCCAUCCUGACCCCUGCCACGAGGCCUGGCCCCGCCACAUCGUCCCACCUGGCGGCAGCUGUCCUGAAUGAGGCGCUUGGGGUGGUGGCCACAGGGACAAGGCUGGCCGCAAUGUCAGGGGCACGGCAGCCCGAGUCUGUGGAGGGGUGACCCCGAGGAGCCUCUGGCAUGUCGGCUCCAGGCCCCUUAGAGAAGAGCAAACAUGGGGUGCACAGGGCGAGGGGCCGUCCUCCAGCUGUGCCCCCACUGCCCUGCAGCCCGGGGAAGGGACACGCCUGGGAAGGGCAAAGAGAGGCCACCGAGCCUGGUCCCAACAGGUGAGGGUGAGUCUGCGGGCGGGGCCUCCGGGCAAAGGGGACGGGCCUGUCAGUGCCCACGGGCGUCCUGCAGGGUUCAUGGGGCUCUGGCCCGGCACCACCGCCACGCGCGGCAGGUCCCAGGACCCCAGACGUCCUCCAGCCCCACAGCCACUGCGCCAGCUGGUCUGGGACCGCCUGCCAGCGGCACCUGCUCUAGACAUGCUCCAUCUCCUGCUACCUGAUGUCCUCGUCGGUCACCAUGAAGGCCUUGCAGAGCGGCUGGGCUGUGUUGAGCCACACGCCGGGGUUCUUCUCCACGGCGGCCGAGAGCUGCCCCGUGAUGGGCAUGGUGCUGGUGUGCAGUGCACUGGCGAUGGCCGAGAGCAGGGUCUCAUCUGUGCAGCCGGGCCCCACGCC
ensembl:lncRNA